UUAAGCGACUAAGCGUACACGGUGGAUGCCCUGGCAGUCAGAGGCGAUGAAGGACGUGCUAAUCUGCGAUAAGCGUCGGUAAGGUGAUAUGAACCGUUAUAACCGGCGAUUUCCGAAUGGGGAAACCCAGUGUGAUUCGUCACACUAUCAUUAACUGAAUCCAUAGGUUAAUGAGGCGAACCGGGGGAACUGAAACAUCUAAGUACCCCGAGGAAAAGAAAUCAACCGAGAUUCCCCCAGUAGCGGCGAGCGAACGGGGAGGAGCCCAGAGCCUGAAUCAGUGUGUGUGUUAGUGGAAGCGUCUGGAAAGGCGCGCGAUACAGGGUGACAGCCCCGUACACAAAAAUGCACAUACUGUGAGCUCGAUGAGUAGGGCGGGACACGUGGUAUCCUGUCUGAAUAUGGGGGGACCAUCCUCCAAGGCUAAAUACUCCUGACUGACCGAUAGUGAACCAGUACCGUGAGGGAAAGGCGAAAAGAACCCCGGCGAGGGGAGUGAAAAAGAACCUGAAACCGUGUACGUACAAGCAGUGGGAGCCUCUUUAUGGGGUGACUGCGUACCUUUUGUAUAAUGGGUCAGCGACUUAUAUUCUGUAGCAAGGUUAACCGAAUAGGGGAGCCGAAGGGAAACCGAGUCUUAACUGGGCGUUAAGUUGCAGGGUAUAGACCCGAAACCCGGUGAUCUAGCCAUGGGCAGGUUGAAGGUUGGGUAACACUAACUGGAGGACCGAACCGACUAAUGUUGAAAAAUUAGCGGAUGACUUGUGGCUGGGGGUGAAAGGCCAAUCAAACCGGGAGAUAGCUGGUUCUCCCCGAAAGCUAUUUAGGUAGCGCCUCGUGAAUUCAUCUCCGGGGGUAGAGCACUGUUUCGGCAAGGGGGUCAUCCCGACUUACCAACCCGAUGCAAACUGCGAAUACCGGAGAAUGUUAUCACGGGAGACACACGGCGGGUGCUAACGUCCGUCGUGAAGAGGGAAACAACCCAGACCGCCAGCUAAGGUCCCAAAGUCAUGGUUAAGUGGGAAACGAUGUGGGAAGGCCCAGACAGCCAGGAUGUUGGCUUAGAAGCAGCCAUCAUUUAAAGAAAGCGUAAUAGCUCACUGGUCGAGUCGGCCUGCGCGGAAGAUGUAACGGGGCUAAACCAUGCACCGAAGCUGCGGCAGCGACGCUUAUGCGUUGUUGGGUAGGGGAGCGUUCUGUAAGCCUGCGAAGGUGUACUGUGAGGUAUGCUGGAGGUAUCAGAAGUGCGAAUGCUGACAUAAGUAACGAUAAAGCGGGUGAAAAGCCCGCUCGCCGGAAGACCAAGGGUUCCUGUCCAACGUUAAUCGGGGCAGGGUGAGUCGACCCCUAAGGCGAGGCCGAAAGGCGUAGUCGAUGGGAAACAGGUUAAUAUUCCUGUACUUGGUGUUACUGCGAAGGGGGGACGGAGAAGGCUAUGUUGGCCGGGCGACGGUUGUCCCGGUUUAAGCGUGUAGGCUGGUUUUCCAGGCAAAUCCGGAAAAUCAAGGCUGAGGCGUGAUGACGAGGCACUACGGUGCUGAAGCAACAAAUGCCCUGCUUCCAGGAAAAGCCUCUAAGCAUCAGGUAACAUCAAAUCGUACCCCAAACCGACACAGGUGGUCAGGUAGAGAAUACCAAGGCGCUUGAGAGAACUCGGGUGAAGGAACUAGGCAAAAUGGUGCCGUAACUUCGGGAGAAGGCACGCUGAUACGUAGGUGAAGUCCCUUGCUGGUGGAGCUGAAAUCAGUCGAAGAUACCAGCUGGCUGCAACUGUUUAUUAAAAACACAGCACUGUGCAAACACGAAAGUGGACGUAUACGGUGUGACGCCUGCCCGGUGCCGGAAGGUUAAUUGAUGGGGUUAGCGGUAACGCGAAGCUCUUGAUCGAAGCCCCGGUAAACGGCGGCCGUAACUAUAACGGUCCUAAGGUAGCGAAAUUCCUUGUCGGGUAAGUUCCGACCUGCACGAAUGGCGUAAUGAUGGCCAGGCUGUCUCCACCCGAGACUCAGUGAAAUUGAACUCGCUGUGAAGAUGCAGUGUACCCGCGGCAAGACGGAAAGACCCCGUGAACCUUUACUAUAGCUUGACACUGAACAUUGAGCCUUGAUGUGUAGGAUAGGUGGGAGGCUUUGAAGUGUGGACGCCAGUCUGCAUGGAGCCGACCUUGAAAUACCACCCUUUAAUGUUUGAUGUUCUAACGUUGGCCCCUAAUCGGGGUUGCGGACAGUGUCUGGUGGGUAGUUUGACUGGGGCGGUCUCCUCCUAAAGAGUAACGGAGGAGCACGAAGGUUGGCUAAUCCUGGUCGGACAUCAGGAGGUUAGUGCAAUGGCAUAAGCCAGCUUGACUGCGAGCGUGACGGCGCGAGCAGGUGCGAAAGCAGGUCAUAGUGAUCCGGUGGUUCUGAAUGGAAGGGCCAUCGCUCAACGGAUAAAAGGUACUCCGGGGAUAACAGGCUGAUACCGCCCAAGAGUUCAUAUCGACGGCGGUGUUUGGCACCUCGAUGUCGGCUCAUCACAUCCUGGGGCUGAAGUAGGUCCCAAGGGUAUGGCUGUUCGCCAUUUAAAGUGGUACGCGAGCUGGGUUUAGAACGUCGUGAGACAGUUCGGUCCCUAUCUGCCGUGGGCGCUGGAGAACUGAGGGGGGCUGCUCCUAGUACGAGAGGACCGGAGUGGACGCAUCACUGGUGUUCGGGUUGUCAUGCCAAUGGCACUGCCCGGUAGCUAAAUGCGGAAGAGAUAAGUGCUGAAAGCAUCUAAGCACGAAACUUGCCCCGAGAUGAGUUCUCCCUGACUCCCUGAGAGUCCUGAAGGAACGUUGAAGACGACGACGUUGAUAGGCCGGGUGUGUAAGCGCAGCGAUGCGUUGAGCUAACCGGUACUAAUGAACCGUGAGGCUUAACCUU
rnacentral:rRNA from 1 species